rfam:Schistosoma haematobium scaffold1310_47, whole genome shotgun sequence.
GUCCAGCUGACGAGUUCAAGGUAGGACGAAACGCGCGUCCUGAAC